rnacentral:rRNA from 1 species
GUCCACGCCGUAACGAUGUCAACUAGCUGUUGGGACUCUUGUAGUUCUGGUAGCGCAGCUAACGCACUAAGUUGACCGCCUGGGGAGUACGGCCGCAAGGUUAAACUCAAAUGAAUUGACGGGGCCCGCACAAGCGGUGGAGCAUGUGGUUUAAUUCGACGCAACGCGAAACCUUACCUACUCUUGACAUCCUGCGAACUUUCUAGAGAUAGAUUGGUGCCUUCGGGAGCGCAGAGACAGGUGCUGCAUGGCUGUCGU